CCUACGGGAGGCAGCAGUGAGGAAUAUUGGUCAAUGGUCGGGAGACUGAACCAGCCAAGCCGCGUGAGGGAGGAAGGUACAGAGUAUCGUAAACCUCUUUUGUCAGGGAACAAAGGCGGGGACGUGUCCCCGGAUGAGUGUACCUGAAGAAAAAGCAUCGGCUAACUCCGUGCCAGCAGCCGCGGUAAUACGGAGGAUGCGAGCGUUAUCCGGAUUUAUUGGGUUUAAAGGGUGCGCAGGCGGUCUGUUAAGUCAGCGGUCAAAGCCCGGGGCUCAACCCCGGCCCGCCGUUGCAACUGGCAGUCGCGAGUUGGAGAGAAGUAUGCGGAAGGCGGGGUGUAGCGGUGAAAUGCAUAGAUAUCGCGCAGAACUCCGAUUGCGAAGGCAGCAUGCCGGCUCCACACUGACGCUGAGGCACGAAAGCGUGGGUAUCGAACAGGAUUAGAUACCUUGUAGUC
rnacentral:rRNA from 1 species